GAAUCGGGACUCCAGAGCUUCUAUAAAAGCUUCCUGCUCUGCCACGUCUUCUUCGAUUAUGGCAUAAUAAAUGCCCACUCCCCUCCCCGCAAUGGAUUUUAGCAAAGGACUAAAGUAACUCAACAUCUUCAAAACCAGGGAAAGAAAAGUUUCAUUUCUUAAAUUGUUCAUGGAAAAUUUUCAAGAAAGACAAAAUAAAAUCCGAGUAUGAGUUCCAAAUCAAGGCCUGGGACCAAAUAGAAUUCGCUCGAGCUCACACAAUUAGGAGUCAGCAGCGAGUUCAAGCACUGGCCGGAGAUCAGGAUCAAAUGUACCUGCAACUCCAGAUUAUAAAACGGAUUUAUAGGUUCGUGUAUCAGUGAAAAGCCAAACACUGAGGGCGAGAGGGGAGAGGGGUUUCCCCCUGCCCUUUUCCUAACAUACAGCCGUGAUAACAGCUGAUAAGCCCUAUACUCCUAUCCCCAAGGGAGCUAAGAAUCUGCAAGACAUCAACAUGUAUGCUAAAUCUCCAAAUGAUUCAGCAACUCAUCCCCAAAACCAGGUACAAUCAGUCUGAGCUUCGCCAAUCA
rnacentral:misc_RNA from 1 species